GCAAAAACAGAGGUUCCCAUACGAUCACCAAAGUUAAGAAACAUCGAGCCUGGUCAGUACGUAGAUGAGUGACGCCUUGGCAUACCAGGUGCUGUAA